rnacentral:rRNA from 1 species
CCUACGGGUGGCUGCAGUGAGGAAUAUUGGUCAAUGGGCGGGAGCCUGAACCAGCCAAGUCGCGUGAGGGACGACGGUACUAUGGAUUGUAAACCUCGUUUGUCGGGGAACAACGGCGCCCACGGGUGGGGGGAUGAGUGUACCCGAAGAAAAAGCAUCGGCUAACUCCGUGCCCGCAGCCGCGGUAAUACGGAGGAUGCGCGCGUUAUCCGGAGUUAUUGGGUUUAAAGGGUGCGUAGGCGGACAGUCAAGUCAGAUGUGAAAGUUUGCGGCUCAACCGUAAAAUUGAAAUUGAUACUGGCAGUCUUGAGUACAGUUGAGGUAGGCGGAAUGCGUGGUGUAGCGGUGAAAUGCUUAGAUAUCACAAAGAACCCCGAUUGCGAAGGCAGCUUACUAAACUGUGACUGACAUUGAGGCUCGAAAGUGUGGGUAUCAAACAGGAUUAGAUACCCUAGUAGUC